rnacentral:miRNA from 1 species
UUCGCAAGAAGGUGUCAUUCAU